rnacentral:lncRNA from 1 species
UGCUACUCAAAUACAAAAUCUCCAAAAUCCGGGUGUCAUUGAGUUCAUGAGCUACUAAAUGAUAACAUAGUCAAAACUUCUAAUAAAACUAUCUAGAAAGAUAGAACAAUGCUAAAUCAACUAACACGAAGGAGAGUCGAGGUCCGCGGAUGCCAAAGCAACUACCUCAAUAGUCUCCAAGUAGGUAAUGUUCCAAGUCUAGCAACCACAGGGUCCAGAUGUACCUGGAUCUGCACACGAAGUGUAUAGUGUAAUAUGAUUACAACCGAUCCAAUAUACUCAAUAUGUAACAUGACUAUCCUUGGGUUGAAAGCGGUGACGAGCUCAAAAAGGCACAGUCCAAAUUCAGAUAAUAACAAUAUGGUAUAACGAGGAAAUAAUAGUACUACUCAGAUGAAAUCUCAAAAUCAAUUUAUACACAGUACGAAAAUAUUGACAUGCUUUCGAAUUCAACAAUUAAGCUAAAUACUGGUAAGAUAUGCCAAAUAUAGCUAGAAUGAGGAAUGUUACAUCUCUAUGCCUACAUAAACAAAUAUGGAUGUCAAAUCCAAUGCAUCACAAUGAUACUCACAUGUACUCACUCUUAGAGUACUCAAUCCUACUGUCACAACUCAUACUCAUCACACUCAGUCACUCAACACUAUACGGUACCUGUACUCACUGCUGGUAUGUCAAACUCUGAAGAGGCGGAUCCUGCCCAAGUGCUAAUAAAAUAUUGGACGGCGUGCAACACGAUCCUAUCAUGAAUCAAUAAUACCUAAUGCAGCGUGCAACCUGAUCCCAUCAUGAAUUAAUAAAACAUGUUGCGGCACGUAGCCUGAUCCCAUCAAUAACACUUGCAAUCCAGCCCUGAUGCCCCAACUCAGUCAUCAAACUCUGCAGCCUGUCGGGCUCAACAAUCUUAUACGAAUCAGCCCAAACAAUGAUGAUAUGAUGUAACAAUAAGUAACAACAAAAACUAAGAUAUGAAUGAUUCAACAACAUAAAUGACCUCAGCGGGUCCCAAUAGAAUAAGCAUAUAACAUAAACAUGAUUUCUAACAUGCAUUGCAGUUCAAUUACUCUAACAUGUAUGGAUUACAUGAAUAACAAUAAGGUUUGAUAUCUAUAUGGCACUACAUAAUCAACUAAGUCACAAUCACUGCGGUGCAAGACUACACGCCUAUUACCUAGCAUGCGUGUCACCUCAAUACCAACCACAUAACACGUAUUUCAAGGAUUCAUACCCUCAGAAUCUUUGACUAGUGAAUCUUUUGCUUUUCGGGUGGUGUCAAACAAAGGUGCUUGCAUUAAAGGAGAUGACCGCCUACAGGGCGUAGCUUGCUUCCCGCCUGAAAGAACCGCUCACUAACUAGCCGUUAGGUUGAUAACCCACAGCGGAAGGCAUUCUACCCAAUAAGGCCAUCCAGUUCCGUGCAAAUCCCUACUCCAACAAGCCUUUGCCUCACGAAUCGGUCCCCGAAUGACUCAAAUCUACCUACAAACAACUUAAUACAAUCAAUACAAGGUCUAGGAAUCAAUUCCAUAUUAUAAAGCUAGGUUCAUCAACAAAAGUCAAAAACUCAACCCGAAAAGUCAAUUCUAGGAUCACGUCUCGGAAUCCAACAAAAUUUAUAAAAUACGAACAUACAUUUAAUAACGAGUCCCACCAUACCAAAAUCACUGAAUUCCGACCUCAAAUCGACACUCAAAUCCCCAGAUCUUACUCUCUAUUGCAUGGGUAAAAAAUCCCCAAAUUCCAACUUAGAUUCAUAAUAAUUAAGUGAAAUAAACAAUGGGUAUUCAAAAUACAUGGAUAAAAGUGAUCAAAAAUCACUUACCUCUUCAGUCUAGGUGAAAACCUCUUAAACAAUCGCCUAAGUCCGCACCCCAAAGCUCUCAACAUGACAAGAAGACUCAAACCCUUGAUUUUAAAUAUCUGCCCAACCCUUUUCACUCCUGUGGACUCAACCGCCGCACCUGUGGCUCCAAUUCUGUGGAAAUCACUUAAGCACACGACCAACUGCAUCUGUGGACAAAUAUUCGCAUAUGCAAAACCGCUUUUGCGGUCCGUGCUUUGCUCAUACGAAUCCACGCUUGCGGAUUCCAAUCCCCUUCUACGAGUCCAGUCCUACCUAUCAAAAUAUGCAUCUACAGAGGCUCGUAGCAUCUGCGGGCCUGCAGAUGUGAAAAAUUCCUUGCACCUGUGACCACUGCCCAACACACACCGAACCGCUCAUGCAACCCCAUGCUCGCUUCUGCUGUCGUGCACAUGCGACACAUUCUUCGCCAGUGCAAUCGCACCUGACCUGAAAGUCUUAUGCAUUUUCCUCGAGUCAAAACAUUAAUCUGAUUACAGUUGAAUCACACUCGAGGCCUCGGGAACCCCAUCCAAACAUGCCAAAAAGUCCUAAAACACGUUACGAACUUAGUCGGCGAUUGAAAUCACAUCAAAUAACGUCAAAAACACAAAUCGCACUUCAAGCCUAUUCAAACUAAUGGAUUUCCAACUUCUACAAUCGAUGCAGAUACCUAUCAAGUCAAAUCCAACUGACCUCAAAUUUUGCACACAAGUCAUCAAUGACACAACGGACCUAUUCAAACUUUUGAAACCAAAAUCCGAGCUCGGUAAUGAAAAGGUCAGCUCUUAGUCAAACUUCUCAACUUUCCAAACUUUAACAUUCCCAACUUUAGCCAAUUCAAGCAAAAAUGACCUUCGGACCUCCAAAUCAAUAUCAGGACACAUUUCUAAGUCCAAAAUCAUCAUACGGAGCUAUCAGAACUAUCAAAACUCCAUUCUGGAGUAAUUUACAUAUAAGACAACAUCCGGUCAACUCUUCCAACUUAGGCUUCCAACCUUGGGACUAAGUGUCCCAACUGAUUCCGAAAUAUUCCUAGAACCAAACGAACUACCCCGUCUAGUCAAAUAACAAUAAACAAACAUAGAAUAAGCAAUAAAUAGGGAAAUAUGGCUUUAAUACUCAAAUCAACUAGCUGGGUUGUGACAUUCUCCCCCUCUCAAAUAGGUGUGGAUAUCUGCUCCGCAUCUUCCGCUCGGUCUCCCAAGUAGCCCCUUUGAUUGGCUGACCUCUCCACUGUACUUUCACUAAAGCUCCAUUCUUUGACCUCAACUUUCGAGCCUUUCGAUCCAAAAUGGCCACCGGCUCCACAUCAUAAGUCAAAUCCCUAUCUAAUAAAACUGUGCUGAAGUCCAAAACAUAAGACUAAUCAAUAAAUACUUUCGGAGCAUGGAAACAUGAAACACUAGAUGGACACUCGAUAGACUAGGUGGCAGUGAAAGCUUAUAAGCCACCUCUCCAGUCCUCUAAAGCACCUCAAAAGGGCCAAUAUAUUGAGGGCUCAAUGUGUCCUUCUUCCCGGCACUCAUAACACCAUUCAUGAGUGAAACUCUGAGUAAUGCCUUCUCUCUGACCAUGUAGGCAACAUCAAAAACCUUCUGAUGGGCAUAACUCUUUUGUCUAGACUAUACCGUGCGAAGCCGAUCCUGAAACAACUUAACCUUGUCCAAAGCAACCUGAACCAAGUCAGUAGCAAAUAACCUAGCCUCACCUGACUAAAACCAACCAAUAGGAGACCGACACUGCCUUCCAUAGAAGGCCUCAUACAGAGCCAUCUGAAUACUUGAUUGGAAGCUAAUUUUGUAGGCAAAUUCUGCAAGCGGCAUAAACUGAUCCCAAGAACUCCCGAAACCAAUGACACAAGCAUGUAUCAUAUCUUCAAAUAUCUAAAUAGUCCGCUCCUAUUAUCUAUCUAUCUUAGGGUGGAAUGUUGUACUCAUCUCAACCUGCAUGCCUAACUCUCGCUGCAUUCUCUCCAAAAUUGCUAUAUGAACUACGUGCCCUGAUCUUAAAUAAUAGACACCAGCACACCGUGAAGGCGAACAAUCUUGCUGAUAUAUAUAUAUAUAUCUUAACCAACCGCUCCAAAGAAUAGGUAGUCCCAACUAGAAUGAAAUGCAUAGACUUAGUCAACCGCCCCACAGUCACCCAAAUAGCAUUAAAACAUUUGCAAAGUUUGUAGGAGCUCAACUACGAAGUUCAUGGUUAUACGCUCCCAUUUCUAUAGAGGAAUCUCAAGCCUCUGAUGCAAACCAUCCCGCUUUUGGUGAUCGUACUUCACCUGCUAACAGCUCAAGCACCGGGCUACAAACUCCACUAUAUCUUUCUUCAUUAUCUUCCACAAUAGAUUACCCCAUGUCCUAAUACAUCUUUAUGGAACCUGGACGAAUGGCAUACCGCGAACUAUGGGACUCCUCUAGAAUCAACUCACGUAACCCAUCUACAUUGGGCACACAAAUCUGACCCUAUAUCUGCAAUACCCCAUCUUCUCCAAUAGAAACCUCUUUUACAUCACCGUGUUGAACUGUGUCCAUAAAUACAAGCAAAUGGGGGUCGACAUACUGACGCUCCCUGAUGCGAUCAUAUAAAGAAUACCGAGAAACCAUGCAAGAUAGAACCCGACUAGGCUCUAAAAUAUCUAACCUCAUGAACUGAUUGGCCAAGGCCUGAAUAUCUACUGCAAGUGGUCACUCACCAAUAGGAAUAUAUGCAAGACUACCCAUACUCAAUGCCUUCCUACUCAAGGACUUGACCCCACAUUGGCCUUCCUAAGAUGACACAAAAUGGUAAUAUCAUAGUCAUUUAACAGCUCCAACCACCUUCACUGCCUAUAAUUUAAAUCAUUCUACUUGAACAAGUGUUGAAGGCUCCGAUGAUUUAUAAAUACCUCGCAAGACACUCUAUAGAGAUAAUGCUUCCAAAUAUUCACUGCAUGAAUGAUGGUUGCCAACUUUAUACCAUGAACGAGGUAAUUCUUCUCAUGAGGCUUCAACUAACGUGAAGCAUAAGCAAUCACCCUACCCUCCUACAUCAAGACACACCCAAUACCAAUCCAAGAAGCAUCAUAGUACAACCUGAUGCUGAAGGUAAAACUAGAACUGGAGCGUUGGUCAAGGUAGUCUUGAGCUUCUAAAAGCUCUCUUCACACUCAUCCGACCACCUGAAUGGAGCACCCUACUAGGUCAACCUGGUCAAAGGUGCUGCAACCAGUGAGAAACCCUCGAUGAGCCGACGAUAAUAUCCGGCCAAGCCGAGAAAACUCCAAAUCUCAGGAGCUCAAGAUGGUCUAGGACAACUCUGAACCGCCUCAAUCUUCUUCAGUUCUACCUUGUUCCCCUCAUUGGACACCAUGUGCCCCAAGAACACCAUCGAAUUGACCCAAAACUCACACUUGGAGAACUUGGCAUAAAGCUUCUCCUCCCUCGACAUCUGUAGUACAAUCCUUAGAUGUUGUGCAUGCUCUUCCUGGCUAUGUGAGUACACCAGAAUAUUAUCAAUAAAUACUAUGACAAAUGAAUCAAGAUAUGGCUAAACACACUGUUCAUUAGAUGCAUGAAUGAUGUUGGGGCAUUGGUUAGCCCAAAAGACAUCACAAGGAACUCAUAGUGACAAUAGCGGGUCCUGAAUGCCAUCAUCAGAAUAUCAAAGCGCCGAAUCUUCAACUAGUGAUAGUUACUCCUCAAAUCAAUCUUAGAGAACACUUUAGCUCCAUGAAGCUAGUCAAAUAAGUCAUCAAUGCACGAAAAAGGAUACUUGUUUUUAAUUAUAACUUUGUUCGAUUGUCUAUAGUCAAUGCACAUCUGCAUAGUACCAUCCUUCGUCUUCACAAAUAGAAAUGGUGCACCCCAAAGAGACACACUAGGCCUAAUAAAACCCUUAUCAAGAAGCUCCUAAAGCUGCUCUUUCAAUUCCUUCAACUCUUCCUAUGCUAUACGAUAUAUUGGAAUAGAAAUGGGCUGAGCGUCCGGUACCAAGUCAAUACCAAAAUAAAUGUCCUUUUCGGGAAACAGGUUUGCAUAAAACACAUCCAGAAAGUCUCACACCACCAGUAUAGAAUCAAUGGUAGGAAUGUCGGCACCAACAUCCCUCACAAAGGCCAAAUAUGAUAAGACCCCUUCCCACAAACCAACCAACUUACUGCUAUGAAUAUAACAAAAUAAAGCCAUCACGUUAUCAUUAGGGCAUUUAACAUAAGAUAAUCUCACUUUAUGUGCAAUGCACCUAGCCACAGUUAUCGGUUCUAAAGUGACUUUGAGGGUACGAAGGUCAGUUGGCAUCAUCCCAUUUUGUUCAUUUCAAUCCUCUUUUUUCUUUGCUUUUCUAGCACUUUCUUGAUCAUUUUCCUUCCUCUUUUUCUAAUUUCACUAUUUUCUUUCCUUCAUUUCUCACAUCCCACAAUUUCAUCUCUUUUUUUUCUCUCUUUUCUCCUUUUUUUCUUUUCUUUUAACAGUAAAAAAAUGAUUCGAUCGAACCCUAUGUAGGUUUCUUACGCAUUAUGAUGCCGCAUGAAUCAGAUCUUUGCGUAGUUCUGGAAGAACGGGAAUAAAGUAAACAAACUAACGUUCUUUUUUCUUUUCUAAUUUUUUUUACCUUAAGGACUACUCUGAUGAGAAGAGAGAAAUAAAAGAAGCAAAUCCUUUUUUUUUUGAAUUUUCUAGGCUUAAUAUUCUAUAACUUAUUGUAAACUCAAGCUUAACGAGCAUAUAUUUCUUGCUUUUUUUCUUUUUGAGACAAACACUCUAUGGGAAAUUAUUAAGGAAAACCCUAGAAGAGAAAAAAAAAUAUUUUUGAUUCUUUUUUUUAGGAAGAAGAUCGAACGAAUAAACCAUAUAAAAAUAUUUUGAAUUUUCAAUUGAUAUCUUGAUGCAGGAUUUUGAAACAAGCAAUGAAAAAGAUAAAACAACAUGUUUUUGGAUUUCAAUUUGAUUGCCUAAAGGAAGAAACUUUAAACAAAAGAUAAAGUAUGUUUUUUUUCUAUGUACAAUUUCCUAAAGUUCUUGGGAAAAUAAAAGAAUAUUUUUUUUCAUUUUUCAUUAAGUUCCCAAAGAAGAACGUCAAAAGAAAAUCUUUUUGGAUUUUUAAGAUUAAUGCCUUAAAGAAAACUUUUUAAAAAGUACUAAAAGGAAUUUGUUUUUGAAUUUUGGUCAUAAUAUAGUAAAGGAAAUAUAAAAAUAAUUUUUAUUUAAAUCCUAGAUAUUAAUUGCCUAAAGGAAAAACCACCUCAAAAUACUUUUUCUCAUUCCUACAAUUAGUAUUCUAAAGAAAAUUCCUAACGGAAAUAUAAAACACAAUAUUUUAAUUUUUGUUUUGGAUUUUGAUUCAUUACACACCAUUUCAAAUGCAAAAUAGAAAGUACAAUAAUAAUAAUAAAGCACGACGACAUUACUAUACAAAACUAAAAGGUAAAAGACGAUAUAAAAUAAAAAAAACAGACUCAAAACAUAAAAAGAAAAGAAAAUCUUCUUUUAAUCCACUCCCAAAUGAGCGAUCCUGACUAGAUGUCCUGGGGCUCUGUCAUGCUCAAACUCCGAUAAGUAAAUCCACGUCUGUAUGAGAAAAUUUAAACCAAAUAGGUUAAAUACCUAGAGCGCUAUGUGAGACAAUAACCCUUCCUACUGGAAAUAUGCAAGACAUGACUUAGGCUAUUUUUGCAAAAUGACAUAUUUGGCUAAAAGACGGCUAGAAGUGCAAAAUUUUGGCUAAGACCCCGCAAAGCCAAGAACCUAAGAUUUACUAGGAAGACCAGACCCUAUGUGGGUUUCCUACGUAUCACGCCCCAAAAGACGAGAAUCAGGUAUGCGUAGUUCAGGCAGAUUGGAUACGGGCGAGAAUUAAAAAAAACAACUAAUUUAGAGAAAACAUAUUUUUUGUCUUCUUUUUUUAUAAAAGAAAAAUGAUGAGACAAGUAGCUAACAGUGCUAAAUUAUGCUCUCAAGGAGAAAAACUGAUCUAAGAAACCAUGGAAACAGACAGUGGCAUGUAACUCCUUAAACAUCCGGAUAAUUUGUCUUUCACUUGGCAAUCUAAAAAAAUCGAACGAUCUUCACAAUUUGGUUACAUAUAAAAAUCAGUUGAAGGAAAGCAAAUUAACAAUGCUGAAAAUCCCAUUUCUCUAAAAAUUAUGAAGUAUCAAACUCUGUCUCAUCCUUAAGAUCGACUCGGAAUAGUAUUUGCCAAAAACGAAGAUUUUAUAUAUAACUUCCUAAUAACUUUUGAAUUAACAUGAAGCAGAAUCUUAACAUUAAAGGGUCGGGAUAUGAAGACAGCUCAAACAGCAAAAUCCAGUUAGAUAGGUAAUCUGCCACGACAAACUUGAAUUAACCUUUCGAACACUGUUAGCAUUUACAAUAUUUCGAAAUCAGGCAACUCAUUCAACGUUGUUCACAAAUGAAAUCAGAAAAGUGGCAAAUCAAUGAACUUCUCAUUGAAACAGAUCUUACUAUAGCUUGAAAGAGAACGUACCUAAUUAUGCAAGGACGAGAUUUAGAAGACAAAGAAGCCAAAUAACGAUUGAAACAAAAAAUUGGAGCUCAGCUAGCAAUGUGGGAGCAACAACAACCAAACAACUCCCCUUUCCGAGUUAUAUCCAAACCCAAAACCCAGCUAAGCACUCCAAUUUCGAGCUUUUCGAGUGAUGAAAAAGUUCUUUGAAGGCUCAGCUCUCCAAUUGAAUUUUUAAGCUACUUUCAAUUCUCAACAGCUUUUCGUUACUGUAUUUUUUGAGAGAAGUGUAGUGUAAUAUGAUGAGAGAUUUUUGUGCUCGAGAGAAAAGCAAAAGAAGCGGCUGAGUUUUUCGUUUUGAUGAAGAAGAAGAUCAAGAUCCAAAGGAGUCCUUCUGCGUCGUUCUUCUAUAUGCGUCCCUCUCUCAUUUGUUUUAGCUCC